rnacentral:rRNA from 1 species
AGCGAACGCUGGCGGCAGGCCUAACACAUGCAAGUCGAACGAACUCUUCGGAGUUAGUGGCGGACGGGUGAGUAACACGUGGGAACGUGCCUUUUGGUUCGGAAUAACUCAGGGAAACUUGUGCUAAUACCGAAUGUGCCCUUCGGGGGAAAGAUUUAUCGCCAUUAGAGCGGCCCGCGUCUGAUUAGCUAGUUGGUGAGGUAACGGCUCACCAAGGCGACGAUCAGUAGCUGGUCUGAGAGGAUGACCAGCCACACUGGGACUGAGACACGGCCCAGACUCCUACGGGAAGCAGCAGUGGGGAAUCUUGCGCAAUGGGCGAAAGCCUGACGCAGCCAUGCCGCGUGAAUGAUGAAGGUCUUAGGGUUGUAAAAUUCUUUCACCGGGGACGAUAAUGACGGUACCCGGAGAAGAAGCCCCGGCUAACUUCGUG